rnacentral:rRNA from 1 species
CUUUCCGUAGGUGAACCUGCAGAUGGAUCAUCGUCGAUACCUUAUAGGUACAUGCUGAUCACGAGAUGCCGAUAAUCAUGGAAUCAGGCUUGUUCUUGGUUCCAGUCGGUGUCUCACCCCAUCUAAGCUCUCGGUGAGGUGUCUAUUCUUGAUUGGAGCCGCUUUGAGUGACGGCAAUGAUAGUUGGGUAUGUUCCCCGUGAGGGUAGAGCAUAGACUUUAUGAACAGAGCUGGGCUGUCGCCUCACCAAAAACCAUCGAUAACUGGUGGCUGAGUGAGAAAUCACUGGAUCUGCUAUGCAGGGAGCCUUAAUGAGUUGGUCUUCACCGACACAACCGCCACUAUCGGUAAUCUAUUCCCAAUUAACUUGUUUCUAGUAAAAGGCUAAAUUAGUCAGUGGAAAAUAGCCUUAGCGAUGGAUCGGUUGAUUCGCGUAUCGAUGAAAAACGCAGCUAGCUGCGUUAUUUACCACGAAUUGCAGACGCUUAGAGUGGUGAAGUUUUGAACGCACAGCGCCGUUGGGUUUUCCCUUCGGCACGUCUGGCUCAGGGUUGUUUAAUAGACUUCGAUAUUGCUAGGAAGGCAGCAAUAUCGUGCACCGAACGGUGAUAGUGUCUAUAAAAUAGUGGUGCAUACCCCGUUUUAGGGUAAAAUAAAGGUCGUAAACUGAAACUUCUUCCGCCCGAGAAGUUAUAGGUAAUACUUAUGGAUGUGCCAUGUAUGAAAUAUGACGCGGUUAUAUACAUAAAUAGUAUUUCCUUGAAGUCUCAUUAUGCAACCUGAGCUCAGUCGUGAUUACCCGCUGAACUUAAGCAUAU